GAUGAACGCUGGCGGCGUGCCUAAUACAUGCAAGUCGAGCGAACGGACGAGAAGCUUGCUUCUCUGAUGUUAGCGGCGGACGGGUGAGUAACACGUGGAUAACCUACCUAUAAGACUGGGAUAACUUCGGGAAACCGGAGCUAAUACCGGAUAAUAUUUUGAACCGCAUGGUUCAAAAGUGAAAGACGGUCUUGCUGUCACUUAUAGAUGGAUCCGCGCUGCAUUAGCUAGUUGGUAAGGUAACGGCUUACCAAGGCAACGAUGCAUAGCCGACCUGAGAGGGUGAUCGGCCACACGGGAACUGAGACACGGUCCAGACUCCUACGGGAGGCAGCAGUAGGGAAUCUUCCGCAAUGGGCGAAAGCCUGACGGAGCAACGCCGCGUGAGUGAUGAAGGUCUUCGGAUCGUAAAACUCUGUUAUUAGGGAAGAACAUAUGUGUAAGUAACUGUGAACAUCUUGACGGUACCUAAUCAGAAAGCCACGGCUAACUACGUG
rnacentral:rRNA from 1 species